AAAUUUAGGAUCAACCAUCUAAACCGAGAGCCUUCAACGCUUUAAACAGAAGUAGACACUUCUAAUUUCUG
rnacentral:tRNA from 1 species